rfam:Pongo abelii chromosome 9.
GGAUGUGAGGGCGAUCUGGCUGUGACAUCUGUCACCCCAUUGAUCGCCAGGGUUGAUUCAGCUUAUCUGGCUGGCUAGGCAGCUGUCUGCUUCCUCCUUCACCAUUCCAGGUGUGUCCCUCCGGAAGUUGUGUUCUGGGUAAGGGGACGACCAUCCCCCAUAGAGGAGGACCAGUAUUUCGUCAAGGGUAUAUCAAUAGCUGUACUCCCCUGCUAGAACCUCCAAACAAGCUCUCAAGAGUAAAUAACCCCUAACUGCUGGUCUGAGGGGAUUAUGGAUUUAAAUGUGCACAUGUGUGUAUGUAUAAUAUAUAUACAUAAAAUGUGUCUGUGUGUACUUGUGU